rnacentral:lncRNA from 1 species
ACAACCCACACACACACACCCAGCCCAAAACACACACACACACGGGCCCAAAGGCCUCACAACCAAAAGGGGUUGGGUUCAGCAGGGAAGGCCCAAAGGCCUUGGGUUUGGUGGGUCGCCGGACCUAAUGGGAGAGAAAACCGGAAAUUUGGCCGGAAAUCCACACCCACUUUAAACGGCCAUAACUUUGUCAAUACUUAACGAAAU